rnacentral:rRNA from 1 species
UACGUAGGGUGCAGGCGUUAAUCGGAAUUACUGGGCGUAAAGCGUGCGCAGGCGGUUUGCUAAGACAGGUGUGAAAUCCCUCGGCUUAACCGGGGAACUGCGUCUGAUACUGGAUGGCUUGAGUUCGGGAGAGGGAUGCGGAAUUCCAGGUGUAGCGGUGAAAUGCGUAGAUAUCUGGAGGAACACCGGUGGCGAAGGCGGCAUCCUGGACCGACACUGACGCUGAGGAGCGAAAGCCAGGGGAGCAAACGGG